rnacentral:lncRNA from 1 species
CGUACCAGAUUCCAUAAUAUUGUUUGAUCAAAUGGGUUGAGAUCUUCCGAUUGAUGUGUAUUUUUAGAAGUGAAUUUCUCUGUUGAUGGGGAUACAAAGAAAACAAUGAAGAGAAAAAAAUAUACGCUCAAUUGGGGACCAUGAUACGUUUAUAAAGAAAACUGCCUUGUGAAGAAACUGUUAAAAGGCAGUUAUUAUCUGUUAGUAUUUUUAAAUUGGCCCCUCAUCAAUUUAAAAUUACAAGUCUGAUCUCUACACAUUAAUUCCAUGACAAACAUACCCUUAAGCCUACUUAAAAUUUAAUUAGAUCACUUAAAUUUAGGCCUAUACAUGAUAACACACAUUAAUAAUAUACAUGUGUGGUCCCAAUUAAAAUUAAUAAAAAUUAAUCCAACAUAUAGUUUGUGUUCAUACUCGAGACAGGAGGGAAAAACUAAAGAAGAGAACGACAGAAAAAGUUGUGAUGUCAUUCUAGUGACU